AGCUGCGCAGUGAGCACAGAUCGAACUAUUCUUUCGCCUUUUACUAAAGAAUACUGCGUGCUCGCUGCAAAUAGCAGCAUACAUAUGCCUAUUUCUGGUAAGGCCCGCCUUAACUGGCAG
rfam:Punica granatum cultivar Dabenzi scaffold410, whole genome shotgun sequence.